rnacentral:rRNA from 1 species
UUACGGUCAAAUCACGCUGAAACACCGGUUCUCGUUCGAUCACCGAAGUUAAGCAUCGUAGAGCCAGGUCAGUACUAAGAUGGGGGACCGCUUGGGAACACCUGGUACUGUAAG